rnacentral:rRNA from 1 species
GACGAACGCUGGCGGCGUGCUUAACACAUGCAAGUCGAGCGAGGUCCAACCGGUGGCAACACCGGGGAAGACCUAGCGGCGAACGGGUGAGUAACACGUGAGCAACCUGCCCCGAAGACUGGGAUAACACCGGGAAACCGGUGCUAAUACCGGAUGUCCUCCUCUGGUCGCAUGGCCUAAGGAGGAAAGACUGCACCUAAGAAAUGCAGUUUGUUUCGGGAGGGGCUCGCGGGCUAUCAGCUGUUGGUGAGGUAACGGCUCACCAAGGCGACGACGGCUAGCUGGUCUGAGAGGACGACCAGCCACACUGGGACUGAGACACGGCCCAGACUCCUACGGGAGGCAGCAGUGGGGAAUCUUGCGCAAUGGGCGAAAGCCUGACGCAGCAACGCCGCGUGGGGGA